rnacentral:rRNA from 1 species
GAGAUAGGAGACGGAGAGAGAGAGAGAGAAAGAGAGAAUAUUUGGCCGGCACUUAAGGUCUCGCUUUGUUGCGGUUGCCGUCCCUCUCUGGGCUGGCCACUGGGUUGCUGGGUCGCAGCUGGAUGGAGGAUGGGAGUAGGUAGGUAACUAGGUAACUAAACUAACUAAUUAAGUAGGCGGUGGUGGCAUGGCGGUGGCUCCUUCCUCCCUACCGCCGCCGCCCGCCCCCCGGCUCCGCCUGCUGCGCCCACCCCGGCAUGCUCGAGCCGUUCUGGCAGCCGCUCCCGUCGAAGCGGUUCCAGUUCUAGCGGUUCCUGUGGGCGUUGCGGCGGUGGACGCGGUAGUUCCACGAGCUGGCGUUGGUGCAGGAUGCUGUGUUCUACCAGCUCGUCUAAUUUUCCCUCUAGCGGUGUUACUUCGAUUAUUCUGUAGGGUUACACCAGGUCGACGUACUCCACUACCGAUCGUUUAGUUUCUAUAUGUACCAAGAACUCAAACAGCUUCCUCCGCUCGAAAAACUAUUCUAACAGUUAAGACCCUUCGACCCUCUUCUACUUCGUUCUGCUAUGAAGGUGGUUGAAUAUUUACGCCACCUAAUAACAGUAUCAGCACCUCACAUGGUAUCUCUAGAGUUCGGUCUUUUAGACGAGGAACUAAGUAUACCUCGAGAGUUUCAGAGUCUGAAGCCGGAGUCGCGUAAAAGAGGCGUUUGUUUCCUCCUACCUGAAGACGUAUGACGAACACCUUGAGGUUUAAUACAACGCGGACUCCACGAACGACUAUUUCCAAUACUACCAUACCGACGACUACACACCAGGACACCGUAUUAGAAUAAACAGGAAUACCGACCUAUAAACGGGAAGCUACUAGGGUUGAAUUACUGAGACAUAUUUAACUAGCGGUCUCGAUUACAAAGAACAGGUGGUACCAAAAGAUGGCCACGUUCUUUAGAAUAAUUCGCGUAAGAACUAGGGUUAGGAGUGUGCUCCUAUUGUUAGCGGGUUUAAAACCUUCUACUUACCAAGUUUUUCCUGAUAUUUGGUGGUGUCAGACUCGUGUUACUUCUACACUCGGAACUUCUACAGCUACGACGUAAGCUAUCAAGUCUCCUUGUGGAACACCGCCUCUCUUCUCUCUUUGGUCUUAGGUACUUACGUAAACGAGAAUAAAGUUCCAGCCUCCCCAAGUUAGAGCCUUUAAACAAACUCUUUCUCUACUACCCCUACCAUUUCGCCCUUUGUAGGAAACGCAGCGUUGCAUGUGGUGUUCUCUAGUACAGAUUUUAUCUCCUUCGGACACCGGGAGAACCAAAGUUACACGCCUUCGUUUUAAUAUUCUACUUUGACUUUCCACUGUUCUGUCCUUCUUUUCCGGUAAAUAGACAUCGUUGUCUCCAAAAACUCCAACGAGGUUGUGAGGUAUACCAACUUGAAGCAUUUUGACCUCCCCUGUGGAACCUCAAAGUGUCAAAGAUGUUCUUAAAGAGUAGUCUUGAUUUUCUGUAACACACCUUUUGACUUAGGUUGUGUUAACGCUUUAUCAGCGCUACUAACUAUGAAACGCCUUACCUUGAUGGAACGCCACGACAUAGCUGCCUGGUGGGGAAGUCCACUAUGGCGACCCGCGACCCAUGACAUAUAAAGAGGCCGUGGCGUAGCUACCAGGUCAAGGCGGUAGAGAACAACUUCUGUCGCGGAAAAAAAUGACUCGCGCUAACAUGUUAAUGUACAUGUUGCUCCGGGAGGGCCUGUACGAGGAACAUUAUAACGUUGCCCCACGGAUUGUCCGUAGGACUUACACGAAAUCAAACGUGGUCCCAACACACGGAAGGAAAUAAAAACACAACCUUCAUAAAUUCUUAGCAUUCUACUUAUUACCAUCAAGUCUGAACUCUAACAUUCCGUUCGGAACGAAGUCAAGCACGGUCCCAACACGUGGAAAGAAAUAAAAACAUAAUCCGUACGUGAGACUAAUCGU